GCCUGCUCUCCUCUCCUCCCCGCCGCCACCAGCCAUCCUCCCCAUCCCACCGCCGCCACCCGUCUUGCUCUCGUCCUCUCUGUCUCCUCCCCUCCCAUCGCCCAUUAGCCCUGGCAUGUCUCCUCCCCACCUGCCGAGCGCGAGGUGCUGGCAGACCGCACCGUGCCGAAGGCCGCCGCCAUAGGGACCGACAAGGGCAUCGUGAUGAGGUUGCCGCUGUGGCCGGCAUGCCGCAUCUCCCAUAGGUGAUUUGUGAAGGCAGAAAUCCUCCUCCAAGCCUUCAUCUACUACCUUGCCAGGUGACAAGAGGGGCAGCUCAAACAGGAAGUUGCUGAAAUCACAGAGGGGCAUGGAAAGAUCGACGAGGCUACUGAAAUCAAUAUGGAAGUUGUUGUUGUAAGUUUGCACGCGCACUAUAAUUUUGGAUGAACUGUUCGUCCACUAUAAUCAUGAUGUGUUCAUUUGGUGUUAAGCUCUUGCUCUGAACUCACGUGCUCUAAUUAGUGUUCUAUACAGAGCAACACCUUUUUGUUUUGGCUAAUCUCUCAA